GGGGGUGAACGGUUUCGACUCUGGCCGUCGAUCAAGGGGAAGCGUGUCGAGGAAGGCGACGAUGAGCUCGUUAACCAUCCGUCGCAAAACAAUAAGUGCCGCUAAUAAGCAGCACGCGAAGUCUGAUUUCGCCCUCGCGGCCUGAUCUGACUUCGCUGUCGGCCCGGGGGCGUCCCCGCUCCGGUCGCCGGCAUCAGCUAGGGGACUCACCUGUCCGCCCGGUCACGGGGUGGGCAGGGACAGCAAACAGUGACUGGGAUCGUCACACCGUCUCGUUCGCAUGAACGGUGGAUCCGAGUAGAGGCAUAGCGGACUGCACACGGAGAAGCCCUUGUGAAGCGACAGAGGACCCGGGUUCGAUUCCCGGCACCUCCACCG
rnacentral:tmRNA from 2 species